rnacentral:rRNA from 1 species
GAUGAACGCUGGCGGCGUGCCUAACACAUGCAAGUCGAGCGGGAAUAUAUGAGGUGCUUGCACCAUAUAUAUUUUAGCGGCGGACGGGUGAGUAACGCGUGGGCAACCUGCCCUGUACAGCAGGAUAACACUUAGAAAUAGGUGCUAAUACUGCAUAAGCUUACGGUACAGCAUUGUACAGUAAGAAAAGAUUUAUCGGUACAGGAGGGGCCCGCGUCUGAUUAGCUAGUUGGCAGGGUAACGGCCUACCAAGGCGACGAUCAGUAGCCGACCUGAGAGGGUGACCGGCCACAUUGGGAC